UGAUCCUUGGUGUAAACAGGAUAUUUUUAAUGUGUAUUGAAUAAACAAACAUACGAAUGUGAUGUUAGUAUUCUACUAUACUGGACUCUUAAAUUGUUUUAACAGCCAUGGACAAUCGUAGGAGUAAUCUCCAUCAGUAUAAGAGGUAACCUGGAAGAGAAGGGGAAAAACACAUUAGACACUAUAUUAUCGUUUGAGUCAGGUUUUUAAGGGAACGACGGAACUCUUGUAAUUAUGUUAGUCUUGUACACAGUGUAUGGAAUUCUUACUAGCAGAAGAAAAAACAACGAUCCUCUUCCUGUUGUUUUCUCUCUAGCAGACGUAAUUAGAGGACAGUACAAAACCUUUAGGGUCUUCCUUCUGUUUUCCCUCUAUUAGAAGUAGCGGAUGUCUAGUCGAACGGAACCAAAGUGAGACUUGUACCCCCUACUAGUCUUCUCUCUAUUCCGUUUUCCCUCAACUAGAGCGGUGGAUGUCUGGUGUCUACUUGCAUGGAGGCGGUACAAGAAAAUGUUCCUGCUUGUUCUCCUUGCCCCUUCUACUCGUCCUGCUUCCGUUUAUCUAGCAUCUCCUCGGCUUGGGUAGCUAGCGACAAACAGCGGUUGCGCUAAUAAUCCCACCACAAAACAAACCGCGGUUACACUCAGAAGCACCAAGACAAACCGCGGUUACACUCAGAAGCACCAAGACAAACCGCGGUUAGAACGUUGGCAUGUUCUAAAAGAUGGUGUAUUAAUCCACAAACAAAGGUAGAUAAUUGUCUUAGCCCACCCCCAUUACUCUCGGCACUCUAAAUUUACUUACCGACUAGACCCAACCAUGUCAUGGGCACGUCAUUAUUGCACUGACGUCUACUCGGCUUGGG
rnacentral:rRNA from 1 species